rnacentral:rRNA from 1 species
UACAGAGGGUGCGAGCGUUGUUCGGAAUUACUGGGCGUAAAGCGCGCGUAGGCGGCUUUGCAAGUCGGGUGUGAAAUCCCCAGGCUUAACCUGGGAACUGCAUUCGAGACUGCAUUGCUAGAGUAUGGGAGAGGGAAGUGGAAUUUCCGGUGUAGCGGUGAAAUGCGUAGAUAUCGGAAGGAACAUCAGUGGCGAAAGCGACUUCCUGGACCAAUACUGACGCUCAUGUGCGAAAGCGUGGGAGCAAACAGG